AUGGCAACAUUUGCAGAUCUUGAGGCAUGUGUGUGGCUGGAAGAAACACUCAAGAAAUUUGACCGUAUACUUGUGAUAUCACACUCUCAGGACUUCAUGAAUGGAGUGUGUACCAACAUCGUCCACAUGCAGAACAGGAAGCUGAAGCUGUGA
rnacentral:rRNA from 1 species